rnacentral:misc_RNA from 1 species
GCGCAACAACUUCCACCUGGCUUACCUUUUCAGUCUUGUGUCAUUGCUUGUAUCGCAUUGAAUGCAUGGUGGGUUUCUUGUGUUGCAUGCCUAAUUGAUGGUAUCAUUUGAAGAAUUGAUGUCCCUUUUCAUCUUGUGUCGCACAUGCGAUGUGAGAUGAACCUUGAAGUAGACUUUGUGAUCCACUCUUUCGAUGUACACGCAUUGAUUUUGUGGCCCACUGUGUGUUGCUUGGUCUCAUGGAUAUGGAACCUGGUGUGGGCAUGGGAUCUUUACUAGUUCCUUGUUUGCCCUGGUUUAGCUUUUCUAAUACGAUUGUUUAUCACAUUUUAAUGUGGUAGGCUAUAUCGGAUAUGAAUGCUACCUGGUUGAUCCUGCC